rnacentral:lncRNA from 1 species
CUUGCUCUUGGAUCCCAGCUGCCAAGUCAGGAGGAAGCCAUGGCCACCCAGGAAGGCCCCAGCAAUGUGAAAGAGUCUCAAAAACAUAAUAAUGAAGAAAUGAAACUAUACACAUAAGACUAUGAAGAGUAUAAUUUCCCUGGUGAAAUUCUGAAAGGGGAAAGACAUUCUUUGUUCUGAAAACAUCAAACCAUGGAGAACAGCCUUUGUGAAGAUGAGGGUGAAGUUGAAUGUGUGGGGCCAAGGCACCUCCUGGGAUGGUGUCAUGUUCUACAUCUUGAAGAGGUUUUGUCUUACAUAGAUACACUCAACCACAGAUCCUAUUAACUGGCAACCUGAAGGUUUAUGCACCUUGAGGACUGCUGAACACCUUGACACAGCUAGCUCGUGCAUCUAAGAGAUUGACUGAGGCAGCAGCUUUGAAAUACUUCUUCAACUACUGCAAAGACUGCAAGAUAUCCAUUAAAGCACAAUUUACUUCAUCAGCAAGCCUUCUGCAAGCUGUUCCCAAAAAGGGUGAAAUGAGCUGUGGCCUGGAAAGGUUACCUGGACACGUGGGAAAUUUCACAAUCUUUUCAACGUUGGCUUUUUUCCAUGUAAAAAGAAGCUAUCAUCUUCUGGGAAGAAAAAAGGCUGAGAAAUUCCGUGAUCUGCCAUCUGCAAGCUGGAUAAUAAGAUAAGCUGGUGGUGUAAUUUAGUCUACACUGGAAUGCCUGAGAAUCAGGAGUUAACAGUUUAAGUCUUCUUCAGAGUCCACAGGCUGGAGAACCAGAAGCUUUGGUACCCCAAGACAGGAGCAGGUGGGUGUCCUAGCUCAAGAAAAGACAGCAAAUUCACCCU